CUGGUUGAUCCUGCCAGUAGUCAUAUGCUUGUCUCAAAGAUUAAGCCAUGCAUGUCUCAGUACAAGCCAAAUUAAGGUGAAACCGCGAAAGGCUCAUUAAAUCAGUUAUGGUUCCUUAGAUCGUACCCACAAUUACUUGGAUAACUGUGGUAAUUCUAGAGCUAAUACAUGCAAACAGAGCUCCGACCGGAGACGGAAGGAGUGCUUUUAUUAGAUCAAAACCAAUCGGUGGCGGGUUCGCUCGUCAUCGUACAACUUGGUGACUCUGAAUAACUUUACGCUGAUCGCACGGUCAUCGCACCGGCGACGCAUCUUUCAAAUGUCUGCCUUAUCAACUGUCGAUGGUAGGUUCUGCGCCUACCAUGGUUGUAACGGGUAACGGGGAAUCAGGGUUCGAUUCCGGAGAGGGAGCCUGAGAAACGGCUACCACAUCCAAGGAAGGCAGCAGGCGCGCAAAUUACCCACUCCCGGCACGGGGAGGUAGUGACGAAAAAUAACGAUACGGGACUCAUCCGAGGCCCCGUAAUCGGAAUGAGUACACUCUAAACCCUUUAACGAGGAUCAAUUGGAGGGCAAGUCUGGUGCCAGCAGCCGCGGUAAUUCCAGCUCCAAUAGCGUAUAUUAA
rnacentral:rRNA from 1 species